CAUUAUAUAACUUUAAAUGACUUUAGAUGAGAGCUUUUAUAUGCAUCUUAUUUAUACUUAAUUCUUGUUUGACACCUAAAGUGAUCAUUUCUUAACUUAAAACUUUAACUGAUUAUGUUGUGUUUGAGUCAGUCAUACAUGGAGACCAAAGACUUCGCAAGAAGGAUGUGUAUGCUCAGAUUGGAAGUGAAGUUACCUUGUCAUGUGAGAUCUCAAAAGAAACGUCAACACAGAGUUGGAGGAAAGGUUUAACACUUGUAACUCGAGGAAAUGAGAUAAACAGAAAUGUCCGCGGCCGCGGAAGACUUGAAGUUAUCAUUGAUGAAGGGUUUUAUAAUCUAAGAAUACACAACAUAACUGAAUAUGAUUUUAGUACUUACUGGUGUGAGACGCAACAACGCAACUCUAUAAGAGCUGAAGGCACAAAACUAAUUCAUUCAGGUGCAAGUACAGUCAACCCUUAUGAAGAAACUACCACAGACAAGCAAAGAAUGAGCCAACAGAGCACAUUAAGUGGUUCGUCUGAAACAAAAGACAGUACAGACAGGCAAAGAACAAGCUUCCAGAGUACCUUAAGUGAUUCGUCUACAUCUGAAAC